rnacentral:piRNA from 1 species
UAGAAAAGACAAAUCAAGUACCCAGAGA